rnacentral:rRNA from 1 species
GACGACCGGCGCACGGGUGCGUAACGCGUAUACAAUCUACCCAAUACUGGAGGAUAGCCCGGGGAAACUCGGAUUAAUACUCCAUAGUAUUACAGAUAGGCAUCUUGAAGUAAUUAAAGAUUUAUCGGUAUUGGAUGAGUAUGCGUCUGAUUAGUUAGUUGGUGAGGUAACGGCUCACCAAGGCGACGACGGGUAGCCGGCCUGAGAGGGUGACCGGCCACACUG